GAGCACGGGGAGUCGGGCGUGGGGCGGGCAGGGAGUGGAGUCGGGGUCUUACUCCGGUGGCUGCAGGGCGCAGCGUAGCCGUGUCAGGCCUGCCCAGGUGCAGAGCGCUCCUCCGCGACCCCAACAGCCUCUGGUCUGGUCUGGCGCGCGCUCGCUUUCCCAGAGGGCGACCUGGGCUAUGGCGGCCGUGGCGCUGGCGAGCGGGACACGCCUCGGCCUUGUCCUCGAGCUGCUCCCGGGACAGCCCGCGCUGCCCCGGGCGCGCCGGGAGUCAGUGACCUUCGAGGAUGUGGCCGUCUACUUCUCUGAGAACGAAUGGAUCGGCCUGGGCCCUGCUCAGAGAGCCCUGUACAGGGAUGUGAUGCUGGAGAAUUAUGGGGCUGUGGCUUCCCUGGGUAAGGGUCUCUCCCUUUGGGCCCUGCCUCCACCCUUCAGAGUUUGCUGGCUCCUUUUUUCUCAAAGGCUCAGGAGUUGUUGAUAACCCUCAGCUCAAUGGCAGCUUCAGGCUCUUGGAUUUUUAAUGACCUAACCUCAGCAGUCGUUGGAAAGUAGGAAGUCCUGGUAUCAGUUUGGGCCUUAUACAGGACUUCCUUGCUCCAGAGUGAGAGGUGCCAAACCCCUACCCUUGUGUUGUGGGUAUAGUGAGAAGAGAGCAAAUUCAUGGUGCUCCACUGAGCCUUCAGUUCCCUGCCCUCUCGGUUUGCAAGAUCCAGCCUAAUUCCAAGCAUCCUCAUGAGGAUGUCUGAACUUGAGAGCUCUAAGAGGGAGAGGACAGGUAAGAAUUGAGGACUCAAUUCCUCAAUGAGUGAAAUCAUCCAUUUGCUGACUCAGUUACUGAGUCGUCUGUCAACUUCCUGACCUUUGUAAGUCUCCUGGCCCCUCUCUUGUCCUUUCCCCUGGAAUUCCUUUUCUUGUUCUUCCUAGUUAUUUCCGUUUUUUUCCCCUCCUACCCCUGAAGACACUGGCCUGGGAGGAGCCUUGGGAUUACUGUGUGCCACGCCACUCACCUGCCUGUCCCAUUUCUUUCCUCUUAAGCAGCAUUUCCAUUUCCCAAACCGGCUCUGAUUUCCCAGCUGGAGCGAGGGGAAACACCCUGGUGCUCGGUUCCUCGGGGAGCUCUGGAUGGAGAGGCCCCAAGGGGCAUCUCCUCAGAGGGUGUGUUGAAGAGGAAGAAAGAAGAUUUUAUUCUGAAGGAGGAAAUUAUUGAGGAAGUACAGGACCUCAUGGUCCUAUCAAGUGGACCCCGGUGGUGUGGAUCCCAGAAAUUAUGGUUUGGGAAAACCUGUGAAGAGAAAAGCAGGUUAGGGAGAUGGCCUGGUUACCUCAAUGGGGGACGUAUGGAAAGUUCUACAAAUGAUAUUAUAGAAGUGAUUGUCAAGGAUGAGAUGAUCUCAGUAGAAGAGAGUUCAGGGAAUACUGAUGUCAAUAACCUCCUUGGUAUACAUCACAAAAUUCUAAACGAGCAAAUAUUCUAUAUAUGUGAGGAAUGCGGCAAGUGUUUUGAUCAAAAUGAGGACUUUGAUCAACACCAGAAAACUCAUAAUGGAGAGAAGGUCUAUGGAUGUAAGGAAUGUGGGAAGGCUUUCAGUUUUCGAUCACAUUGCAUCGCACAUCAGAGAAUUCACAGUGGGGUGAAACCCUAUGAAUGUCAAGAAUGUGCUAAGGCCUUUGUUUGGAAGUCAAACCUGAUUCGUCACCAGAGAAUACAUACUGGAGAGAAACCCUUUGAAUGUAAGGAAUGUGGGAAGGGCUUUAGUCAGAACACAAGCCUUACGCAACAUCAACGGAUCCACACUGGUGAGAAACCAUACACAUGUAAAGAAUGUGGGAAAAGCUUUACUCGAAACCCAGCCCUUCUUCGACAUCAGAGAAUGCACACUGGGGAGAAGCCUUACGAAUGUAAGGACUGUGGGAAGGGCUUCAUGUGGAACUCAGAUCUUUCUCAGCACCAGAGGGUCCACACUGGGGACAAGCCUCAUGAAUGUACUGACUGUGGGAAAAGCUUCUUUUGCAAGGCACAUCUUAUUCGACAUCAAAGAAUCCAUACUGGGGAAAGACCCUAUAAAUGUAAUGACUGUGGGAAGGCCUUCAGUCAGAAUUCUGUCUUAAUUAAGCACCAGAGGCGCCAUGCUAGAGACAAACCCUAUAACUGUCAGAUCUCUCACCUUCUUGAACAUUAGAGAGUGCAUAAUGGUG
rnacentral:sRNA from 1 species